rnacentral:rRNA from 1 species
CUACGGGGCGCUGCAGUGGGGAAUAUUGGGCAAUGGGGGAAACCCUGACCCAGCGACGCCGCGUGAGGGAUGAAGGUUUUCGGAUCGUAAACCUCUGUUGUACGGGAAGAAGAAAGUGACGGUACCGUACGAGGAAGCCCCGGCAAACUACGUGCCAGCAGCCGCGGUAAUACGUAGGGGGCGAGCGUUGUUCGGAAUUACUGGGCGUAAAGGGUGCGCAGGCUGUUAUGCAAGUCUGCUGUGAAAUGCGUCGGCUUAACCGGCGAGUUGCGGCGGAUACUGUAUGACUGGAGUACUGGAGAGGAAAGUGGAAGUCCCGGUGUAGCGGUGAAAUGCGUAGAUAUCGGGAGGAACACCGGUGGCGAAGGCGGCUUUCUGGCCAGUUACUGACGCUCAUGCACGAAAGCUGGGGUAGCAAACCGGAUUAGAUACCCGAGUAGUC